ACAUGCCUACAGCAUAGCGUUAAUGCACAUGAUCCCAUUAGAACUCUGCAGUUAAGCACGCUUAGGCUAGAUUAGUACUGGGAAGGGUGACUGCCCGGGAAGUUCUAGUGUUUUACAUGCC
rnacentral:rRNA from 1 species